CACCAAGGCGACGAUCAGUAGCCGGCUUGAGAGAGUGAACGGCCACAUUGGGACUGAGACACGGCCCAAACUCCUACGGGAGGCAGCAGUGGGGAAUAUUGCACAAUGGGGGGAACCCUGAUGCAGCGACGCCGCGUGAGUGAAGAAGUAUUUCGGUAUGUAAAGCUCUAUCAGCAGGGAAGAAAAUGACGGUACCUGACUAAGAAGCCCCGGCUAACUACGUGCCAGCAGCCGCGGUAAUACGUAGGGGGCAAGCGUUAUCCGGAAUUACUGGGUGUAAAGGGUGCGUAGGUGGUAUGGCAAGUCAGAAGUGAAAACCCAGGGCUUAACUCUGGGACUGCUUUUGAAACUGUCAGACUGGAGUGCAGGAGAGGUAAGCGGAAUUCCUAGUGUAGCGGUGAAAUGCGUAGAUAUUAGGAGGAACAUCAGUGGCGAAGGCGGCUUACUGGACUGAAACUGACACUGAGGCACGAAAGCGUGGGGAGCAAACAGGAUUAGAUACCCUGGUAGUCCACGCCGUAAAC
rnacentral:rRNA from 1 species